rnacentral:rRNA from 1 species
GCGGGAACUGUGGCGUAAGGAAGUCCGGUCCGGCGGUCGCGGCGGCGCCGAGGUCCUUCUGAUCGAGGCCCCCUCCGUCCCGUGGCGGGUGUCAGGCCCCUGCGGGCGCCGCCCGGCGGCCGACCAGGGCUUCCGGGAGUCGGGUUGUUUUGUAGCGCAGCCCAAAGGCGGGUGGUAAACUCCAUCCAAGGCUAAAUACCGGCACGAGACCGAUAGAGCACAAGUACCAUGAGGGAAAGUA